GCCAUCAUAGUAUAGUGGUUAGUACACCACGUUGUGGAGAUUUUGUCGUCACAACAAGACCGUGGAAACCUCAGUUCGAUUCUGGGUGAUGGCA
rnacentral:tRNA from 1 species